UGGGGAAUUUUGGACAAUGGGCGAAAGCCUGAUCCAGCAAUGCCGCGUGUGUGAAGAAGGCCUUCGGGUUGUAAAGCACUUUUGUCCGGAAAGAAAUCCUUGGCUCUAAUACAGUCGGGGGAUGACGGUACCGGAAGAAUAAGCACCGGCUAACUACGUGCCAGCAGCCGCGGUAAUACGUAGGGUGCAAGCGUUAAUCGGAAUUACUGGGCGUAAAGCGUGCGCAGGCGGUUUGCUAAGACCGAUGUGAAAUCCCCGGGCUCAACCUGGGAACUGCAUUGGUGACUGGCAGGCUAGAGUAUGGCAGAGGGGGGUAGAAUUCCACGUGUAGCAGUGAAAUGCGUAGAGAUGUGGAGGAAUACCGAUGGCGAAGGCAGCCCCCUGGGCCAAUACUGACGCUCAUGCACGAAAGCGUGGGGGAGCAAACAGGAUUAGAUACCCUGGUAGUCCACGCCCUAAGCGAUGUCAACUAGUUGUUGGGGAUUCAUUUCCUUAGUAACGUAGCUAACGCGUGAAGUUGACCGCCUGGGGAGUACGGUCGCAAGAUUAAAACUUAAAUGAAUUGACGGGGUCAUA
rnacentral:rRNA from 1 species